CCUACGUGAGGCAGCAGUGGGGAAUAUUGCACAAUGGGGGAAACCCUGAUGCAGCGACGCCGCGUGAGUGAAGAAGUAAUUCGUUAUGUAAAGCUCUAUCAGCAGGGAAGAAAAUGACGGUACCUGAGUAAGACUCCCCGGCUAACUACGUUCCAGCCGCCGCGGUAAUACGUAGGGGGCAAGCGUUAUCCGGAUUUACUGGGUGUAAAGGGAGCGUAGACGGCAGUGCAAGUCUGGAGUGAAAGGCGGGGGCUCAACCCCCGGACUGCUCUGGAAACUGUACGGCUGGAGUGCAGGAGAGGUAAGUGGAAGUCCUAGUGUAGCGGUGAAAUGCGUAGAUAUUAGGAGGAACACCAGUGGCGAAGGCGGCUUACUGGACUGUAACUGACGUUGAGGCUCGAAAGCGUGGGGAGCAAACAGGAUUAGAUACCCCAGUAGUC
rnacentral:rRNA from 1 species